rnacentral:rRNA from 2 species
GCACACGCGUGCCGCGCACUGGUCUCAGAUAGCAACGAACGUGACCGUAUUCUAUUGUUGCAGUGAAAUGUACUUUCGAGUACGACCCACUGCUUAGUAUAUGCACGUGCUUCGGUGCGAGCAAUAUACAUUAAACUAUAGAGACCGCUGUUUCUUCUUUAAACCAGAGGAAGGAUACGGCAAUAACAGGUCUGUGAUGCCCUCAGAUGUUCCGGGCUGCACACGUGCUACAAUGAUCAUUGCACUGUGCAUCUAACCCAAUGUGCGUGGACGCCGCAUGCAUGUACUCCUUGUGGGUACACGCAUUGCUGAGCGACCACGCCGAACCUACUUCGAAAGUAAAAUUUCUCUGUGGGUAAUCCAUUAGAAGUAAUGACUCGCAUAGACCAUGGCACACCAAAUGUACGCGCAGGUCUACCCGGCUCGCCUUUGUGUGAGUGCAGUGCGUAGCUUGUUGUUUCGUACGUGCCACUCCGUAUUAAUUCGUACGUGGGGAUAGAUCAUUGUUUAAUUGUUGGUCUCGGUCUUAACUAGGAAUGCCUUGUACGGGUCUCUGGUUCAACAUACCACCCGGAAUACGUCCCUGCCCUUUGUACACACCGCCCGUCGCUCUUACCGAUGGAUUAUGCUAUGAAUCUAUAGGACUGCCAAAGUUGCCUCGGCUGCUUAGUGGAAAUAUAUAUGAAUAGCGGAUCU